rnacentral:rRNA from 1 species
GGGAGGCAGCAGUGAGGAAUAUUGGACAAUGGGAGCAAUCCUGAUCCAGCCAUGCCGCGUGCAGGAAGACAGUCCUAUGGAUUGUAAACUGCUUUUAUACAGGAAGAAAAAGUCCGACUUGUCGGAUAUUGACGGUACUGUACGAAUAAGAAUCGGCUAACUCCGUGCCAGCAGCCGCGGUAAUACGGAGGAUUCAAGCGUUAUCCGGAAUCAUUGGGUUUAAAGGGUUCGUAGGCGGGAUAAUAAGUCAGUGGUGAAAGUUUGUGGCUCAACCAUAAAAUUGCCAUUGAUACUGUUGUUCUUGAGUUAUUGUGAAGUGGUUAGAAUGUGUAGUGUAGCGGUGAAAUGCAUAGAUAUUACACAGAACACCAAUUGCGAAGGCAUAUCACUAACAAUAUACUGACGCUGAUGAACGAAAGCGUAGGUAGCCAACAGGAUUAGAUACCCUGGUAGUCUACGCUGUAAACGAUGGUUACUAGCUGUUCGUCACGCGCUUAGGCGAGAUGAGUGGUAAGCGAAAGUGAUAAGUAA